AGAGGGCUAGUCCAAAAAAGACCUCUGAUUUCGGCUCAGAAAAUUGUGGUUAAAGUCCAUGGCCCCCUU
rnacentral:tRNA from 1 species